rnacentral:rRNA from 1 species
AUACGUAGGGGACGAGCGUUGUCCGGAAUUACUGGGCGUAAAGGGCGCGCAGGCGGAUAUUUAAGUCAGCUGUAAAAGGCAUGAGCUCAACUCAUGUAUGCGGUUGAAACUGGGUAUCUAGAGUGCUGGAGAGGUAGGCGGAAUUCCCGGUGUAGCGGUGAAAUGCGUAGAGAUCGGGAGGAACACCAGUGGCGAAGGCGGGUAAUUGGACUGCAACUGACGCUGAGGCGCGAAAGUGUGGGGAGCAAACAGGAUUAGAUACCCUGGUAGUCCACACUGUAAACGAUGAAUGCUAGGUGUAAGAGGUAUCGCCCCCUUUUGUGCCGGAGUUAACACAAUAAGCAUUCCGCCUGGGGAGUACGGCCGCAAGGUUGAAACUCAAAGGAAUUGGCGGGG